GUUGAUCCUGAAAGUUGGAAACUUCUUGAACUACGGAAGUCACACAGGAGAUGCCGACGGCUUUAAAAUUGGCACUUUGCUCAAGCUAACAGAAACUAAAGCAAACCAGACUCGCAUUACGCUGCUCCACCAUAUUUUGGAGGAAGUAGAAAAGAAUCACAGACUUGCUGCAGCUUCCCAAAGACAUUGAAUACGUUUCAAAGGCAGCAGGGUAGGAACGCAUUGU